GUGCUCUUCUAUGGUUGACACAGUACCUUAGGAGGCUGACGCAGACGGGUGAAGUAAGUCUCCAUAAAAUGGCAGAGAUUGUAAAACUCUUUGGAUCCUGUCUGGAAUCACAGCU